GCCACCGGUAAACAGCAACCAGAAAGGGCAGCUCUUCGCAUAGACAUAAACUGCACAUAGAAGCCUCAAUGCGCAUGUUCAGCCUCCUGCGAGCCGUCAUCGUGGAUGUGUCAGAGCCUGCCCGUAUAAAGUCAUGCGAGCGAACGCCAUAAACUAGUGACGAGAAUUUCACGGUGACGUUGGAGAUCUACGCGCUGGACCGGGAAGUUUACUUCCGUAUCGUGAGUGACGUCACGCCUGCUAUAUAAACUCACCUGCUAAGUUUAGUUGUCUUUUCUUCGCGCUUCACUUGUCGUCGACAGAGCACGCGUCCAACUUUAUUGUCGGCGUUGAAUUCCACGGAGACAAGUUGACAAAUAUGUCGGGCCAAGCAUUGAAGAGCCGCCCCGCUGUACACCCGCCGUCCCGCUCUCCCGCCCUGAACAUCAGCCUGGAGCUGCGCCACAUGGGCGACUGGCUCUACUGGACCUGCUGCCUCUUGAGGGCCCUGACCAAGGAGUACCAGACCCUGGUCAAGUCCAGCGGUACAUGAUGGCGUGGCGGGCGGAUUUACGGAGGAUGUACAGAAGAAAUGUGUGUCACCCUAAGCUGUUGGCGCUGAGCUACCUUUGGAGUCGGUGGACGCCAGACGCCCGAUUGGAGGUUGAGCCGCGGAAAAUGAUUGGCCAAAGCGGGGGUGCGGGUGACCCGAGAGACCGACCGCUACAACCUGGCGAGAAGAUUUUCAUCAAGCAAGCGUCGAAAGAACUACUGAUUUUAUUUAUUAUACCUACAAAUCAUCAACCAGUUCUUCUUUCACAAUUGGGAAAUAAAUAUCCUGCUUGUAUGUGG